rnacentral:rRNA from 1 species
UACGUAGGGUGCAAGCGUUGUCCGGAAUUAUUGGGCGUAAAGAGCUCGUAGGCGGUCUGUCGCGUCGGCUGUGGGAAACCCGGAGCUCAACUCCGGGCCUGCAGUCGAUACGGGCAGACUGGAGUUCGGCAGGGGAGACUGGAAUUCCUGGUGUAGCGGUGGAAUGCGUAGAGAUCCGGAAGAACACCAGUGGCGAAGGCGGCCCGCUGGGCAGUGGCUGACGCUGAGGCGCGACA